UAACCUAGAGGUUGACCACCUGCGCUGUGAGACGCUCGCCUUCAACAACCCCACCAAAGAAUUCAGGAGAAAGCUGAUCAAAGCUGGAGGGGUAAUGGUAGUACCAAAGGGCCCUGAGGCAGCAACAGGUUCUAGUCCAGACUGCUGUUUACCGCCAACUAAGAAGAUACAAGACCUCCCAUGUGUCAGAGAAACCCAGCAAAUCAUGAAGUAAUGGCAGCAGUCAAUCCGCACAAGCCGACCAAGUAGCAUCGCUAUUGGCCCUGAAAAG